AGUGAACGCUGGCGGUAGGCCUAACACAUGCAAGUCGAACGGCAGCACAGUAAGAGCUUGCUCUUACGGGUGGCGAGUGGCGGACGGGUGAGGAAUACAUCGGAAUCUACUUUUUCGGGGGGGAUAACGUAGGGAAACUUACGCUAAUACCGCAUACGACCUACGGGUGAAAGCAGGGGAUCUUCGGACCUUGCGCGAUUGAAUGAGCCGAUGUCGGAUUAGCUAGUUGGCGGGGUAAAGGCCCACCAAGGCGACGAUCCGUAGCUGGUCUGAGAGGAUGAUCAGCCACACUGGAACUGAGACACGGUCCAGACUCCUACGGGAGGCAGCAGUGGGGAAUAUUGGACAAUGGGCGCAAGCCUGAUCCAGCCAUCCCGCGUGGGUGAAGAAGGCCUUCGGGUUGUAAAGCCCUUUUGUUGGGAAAGAAAAGCAGCAGGUUGAUACCCCGCUGUUCUGACGGUACCCAAAGAAUAAGCACCGGCUAACUUCGUG
rnacentral:rRNA from 1 species